GGAUUAUGGAGUUACUUGAGAGUAAUCUGGAAACAAAAUCAAAGAUUUACAAGGACUCGGCUUUGUUGGCAGUUUUUAUGAUGAAUAAUGAAAGAUACAUUGUUCAGAAAGUUAAAGAUAGUGAGUUGGGAUUACUUUUAGGUGAUGAUUGGGUACGAAAACACGCGGCCAAAGUUAAGCAGUAUCAUGUAAAUUAUCACCGUAGUUCGUGGAGUAAGGUUUCAGGAGUUCUGAAGAUUGAUAAUAAUGCUAUGUCGUCACCUACUGGAGCAUCGAGGUCUUUGAAAGAAAAGCUUAAGUUAUUCAAUUCCUACUUUGAGGAGAUAUGUAAAACUCAAUCAACUUGGAUAAUCUUUGAUGAACAACUAAAGGAAGAAUUAAGGAUUUCUGUAGCAGGGGCUUUGUCUCCAGCAUAUCGCAACUUUAUUGGGAGGUUGCAGAGUAAUAACGACUCCAGCAGGCACACAGAGAGGCAUAUCAAGUUUAGUGUGGAAGAUCUUGAAGCUCGAAUCUCUGAGUUGUUUCAAGGGAGCAGUGGAUCGGGUGGUGGGAGGAAGUGAGAGCAAAGUCUGUAAGCAAGUCCUUGUACCAUAUAUGUAUGCUAGUUUAGCUGUUAGAAAUUUUCUUGUGUGUUCAUGUAAUGCUGGUCAUUAAUCAUUGUGGCCUUUUCAUGCCUCUAAAUCGUCUCCUCUAAUACUUAUUGUACACACUGAUGGUUAGUUUGUUUGAAUGACUAUGUUUGUUUUGC
rnacentral:misc_RNA from 1 species